AUCGGGCGCAGCCUGAUGCAGCCAUGCCGCGUGUGUGAAGAAGGCCUUCGGGUUGUAAAGUACUUUCAGUCGUGAGGAAGGCGGCGUCGUUAAUAGCGGCGUUGUUUGACGUUAGCGACAGAAGAAGCACCGGCUAACUCCGUGCCAGCAGCCGCGGUAAUACGGAGGGUGCGAGCGUUAAUCGGAAUUACUGGGCGUAAAGCGCAUGCAGGUGGUUUGUUAAGUCAGAUGUGAAAGCCCGGGGCUCAACCUCGGAAUAGCAUUUGAAACUGGCAGACUAGAGUACUGUAGAGGGGGGUAGAAUUUCAGGUGUAGCGGUGAAAUGCGUAGAGAUCUGAAGGAAUACCGGUGGCGAAGGCGGCCCCCUGGACAGAUACUGACACUCAGAUGCGAAAGCGUGGGGAGCAAACAGGAUUAGAUACCCUGGUAGUCCACGCCGUAAACGAUGUCUACUUGGAGGUUGUGGCCUUGAGCCGUGGCUUUCGGAGCUAACGCGUUAAGUAGACCGCCUGGGGAGUACGGUCGCAAGAUUAAAACUCAAAUGAAUUGACGGGGAA
rnacentral:rRNA from 1 species